rnacentral:rRNA from 2 species
UAGGGAAUCUUCGGCAAUGGGGGGAACCCUGACCGAGCAACGCCGCGUGAGUGAAGAAGGUUUUCGGAUCGUAAAGCUCUGUUGUUAAGGAAGAACGAGUGUGAGAAUGGAAAGUUCAUGCUGUGACGGUACUUAACCAGAAAGGGACGGCUAACUACGUGCCAGCAGCCGCGGUAAUACGUAGGUCCCGAGCGUUGUCCGGAUUUAUUGGGCGUAAAGCGAGCGCAGGCGGUUAGAAAAGUCUGAAGUGAAAGGCAGUGGCUCAACCAUAGUAGGCUUUGGAAACUGUUUAACUUGAGUGCAGAAGGGGAGAGUGGAAUUCCAUGUGUAGCGGUGAAAUGCGUAGAUAUAUGGAGGAACACCGGUGGCGAAAGCGGCUCUCUGGUCUGUAACUGACGCUGAGGCUCGAAAGCGUGGGGAGCGAACAGG